rnacentral:snRNA from 1 species
GUUCGUUUGACUGUCGCUAUAAAC